GACAGAGGAGCCAAGCGUUGUCCGGAUUGACUGGGCGUAAAGCGCACGCAGGCGGUCGCGCGCGUGGGGUGUGAAAUCUGGCCGCUUAACGGCCAGGCGCCAUCCCAUACGGCGCGACUGGAGUGAUGCAGAGGUCGGUGGAAUUGCCGGUGUAGUGGUGAAAUGCGUAGAUAUCGGGAGGAACACCAGUGGCGAAGGCGACUACCUGGCCUGUUUCUUGACGCUGAGGCGCGAAAGCUAGGGGAGCAAACGGG
rnacentral:rRNA from 1 species